CCUGUUGACUCAUUCAAUUGCCACUAAAGAUGUUUUUUUAUAUAUUUGCCGGCAUUAUCUGAAAACUGCCUUUUUUUGCAAUAGGUGUCGAUGUGGGAAUUGUGAGACAAUGGCGACAGAAAUCGAAAAUAGAUGCUGCCUGGAGAUCCCUCAGGUCACAGCACUAUUAGGAGAAGUGGCGGGAGACCCAGGAUGUAUGCUGGAUCACCCAGGGUUUGAGACAGUCUGUCUGAAUGUAUAUUCUUUGCAAACCGCUGGGCGAGCUUUCAGAUACACAUUUGGCCGUCUACGCCUGAGCAGAACUUAUCGGCGCCUCCGUUUCCUGGCAUACAGGCAAUUUGUAUUGUGGUGCUGGGGCAUUUUGGGUCGCAGGGUCCGUGUGGUCAUUCCGGCGUGUGUGGU